AUCUAUAGCCGUACCACCCUGAAUGCGCACGAUCUCGUCUGAUCUCAGAAGCUAAGUAGGGUUGGGCCUGGUUAGUACUUGGAUGGGAGAGGUGAAGGCACUCUGAAAU
rnacentral:rRNA from 1 species